ACACCAGCACCUCAAGUGGUCAGGAUGAUUAUUGGGCCUAAAGCAUCCGUAGCCUGCUUUGUAAGUUUUCGGUUAAAUCUGUACGCUUAACGUACAGGCUGCCGGGAAUACUGCAGAGCUAGGGAGUGGGAGAGGUAGACGGUACUCGGGAGGAAGUGGUAAAAUGCUUUGAUCUCUCGAUGACCACCUGUGGCGAAGGCGGUCUACCAGAACACGUCCGACGGUGAGGGAUGAAAGCUGGGGGAGCAAACAGGAUUAGAAACCCCAGUAGUCC
rnacentral:rRNA from 1 species